rnacentral:rRNA from 1 species
UGUCGUGUUAAUUCCGAUGAGGUCACACCUGUUCCCAUUCCGAACACAGAAGUUAAGCUUGUCAGGGCCCAAAGUAGUUACAGG